AAUUAAGUUAGAAUGUAGGAGGAAUGAAGGACUGGAGGAAUAUUAGUGAGUUGAAUAAUGUCCCUUCCAAAUUCAUGACCACCUUCAACCUCAGAAUGUGACCUUCUUUGGAAAUAAGAUCUUUGCAGAUGUAGUUAAGUCAAGGAUCAAGACAAAUCACCGUGAAUUUAGGGUGGCCUUAAAUCCAGUGAGAAAGAUUGCCUAUAAGAGAAAACAACACAGAGAGACACAGGGAAGAAGGCCAUGAGUCGAGAGACAGCAGAGGUUGAAGUGAUGUUGCCACGAGCUGGGGAACAUGUGGAGCCACAAGAAGCUGGAAUAGCAUGAAUCCAAAACAAAUGAGACCUUCAAGAAAAAGGAGGAGACCUGGCCCAUGGCGGUCAUGAAAAUGCGACUGUCAGAUUUUCAACUCCAGGAGGGUGAUUGAUGGAGGUCCUCAGCUGCUGCACUCUGAAUCCGUCACCUCCUUAGUGUUGAGGCCAUGCUUCCCACCGUGGCUCCCAGUCAAAGGCAGAGUGCAUUGGGGAUACUAAGACAGGAGACCAAGGGGAUGCCUGGGAGAUGUGAGUCUCCUUUGAUGGGUCAGUGGCUCCAGGAUUGCCCAUUGGCUUUGCCAAACACUCUUGGAUGACCAGCAUCCUGGGAUAAUUUCACCCCCGCCCUUCUCUACUUCACUGGGUUCUUACGGCUCCUCAGCCUCUUCCAGCUCCUUCAGAUUUCUCCCCACAGGCAUUUCCCCCAAUAAAUUUAUUGCUUGUUUCAUUUUGUUUUGACAUCUACCUCUUGGAGGAUUCAUACUAACCUACUCCCCUUGCUCAAGAGUGGGAACCCCCCGGGGCUUCCCUGGUGGUCCAGGAGUUAAGAAUCUGCCUUGGAAUGCAGGGGACUUGGGUUCGAUCCCUGGGUGGGGGACUAGGAUCCCACAUGCUGAGGAGCAUCUAAGCCUGAGAGCUGCAACUGCUGAGCCUGCACACCACGACGAGCCAGUCCAUGAACCGUGGUGAAAGAUCCCUCACGAUGCAACAAAGAUCCAAUGUGCUGCAACUAAGACUUGAUGAAGCC
ensembl:lncRNA